rnacentral:rRNA from 1 species
UACGGAGGGUGCAAGCGUUAAUCGGAAUUACUGGGCGUAAAGCGUGCGCAGGCGGUUUGUUAAGUCCGUUGUGAAAGCCCCGAGCUCAACUUGGGAAUUGCAGUGGAUACUGGCAGGCUGGAGUACGGUAGAGGAAGGUGGAAUUCCCGGUGUAGCAGUGAAAUGCGUAGAUAUCGGGAGGAACACCAGUGGCGAAGGCGGUUCUCUGGGCCUGUACUGACGCUGAGGAGCGAAAGCGUGGGGAGCGAACAGG